rnacentral:lncRNA from 1 species
AUGUAUCUCUAUGACAUGAAACUGAUGUGCUCUGUUUUUCCUUCCUCGGCCACCCAGCACCUGGAGAGACUGGCUGAGGUCAUGGGGACGGCUUGUCUCCUGUCGGGGAAGAAAGACCUCACUGACCAUUUCUUGAUUGCCGUCAGUAAACUGGCUGUGGACCCCGCACAGGAAGUCAGGCAUCAUGGUCGCAAUAUCUUGAGAAACGUGGCCACCAAUGGCGACUUUGCUAAAAUGUGGGACAAAUUCGCUCUGAGGAAAGAGCGAGAAUUAACCUCAAAGAAAGGUACAUUCUCUCUGGAUGAUUAAAAGUGUGACAAAUGAGCUGAUAUGAUUACAGAAAUCCAAUCCCACCUUGCACAGACAUUAUUUAAAUUUGGAACUCAACCAAAAUGUGAAAUCAACCAAAAAUGUUGGUUAAAAGUUUGGUGAAAAAAAUCGAAUUGUGUUUUCCACAUUGAUUCACCGUCAUCACAGAUUUUUUUGUGGUUGAAAUGAGGUGGAAACAAUGUUUAUUCAACCAGUUUUGGCCCAUUGGGAUGAAUUGAAUAUACUGUAAAAUUAUAUCUUUCUGUCUUUUCUCUUUUUCAACAGGGAUAUCUGAAUAAUCCCCAACUUGAGUAUUAUCCCCUCCAGUCCCCAAACUCCAAUACUUUCGCUCAUUCUAAGAAAUUUGACACUAUAAUCCAAACCCCCAUGUAAAUGCAUCUUUAAACUGCAUUGACUCCUUGUCCAAGUCCUGAAUCCACUAUAAGGCAAUACGAACCACAUUCAAAGCAAUAAAUUACCUUUCCUCGAAGCGCCUAUCUGAUCUACCAGCUCAAUAGUGGUCUACUGAAACCAUACACACCAUCUCAGGGGGUGCUCAGAUCAUCAACCACUGACCUCCACACCAUCCUCAAAACCAGCAGUCCUCUUUUGGAGGCAGAUUGGUCAGUACUCCUGUAUGGCACCAACAUUGUGGAUUUUCAUCCAAUACUUCUGGACUAUAAGAACAUUCUUUGGACAAUAAAAUGAGGUCAAAUGGAAGCUGGCUACAGUCUCAGUUUUAUCCUCCAAGGCAGUGUGAGGAUGUGUAACAACAAUAUCUGGGGUUUAACUUGAUGAUCAGGGCCAGAUUACCGAAUGGGCACGCAGGGCACCUGCCCUGUGGGCCCCGACCUCCAGGGGAAAUCAUCAUAACAUCCAAAACUAAAAGUAUUGUGGAUGUAUAGCUCGUUUCAUAGUUUGUAGCCAUGUUUUAUAUACAUUUGUGCAUAUUUUGUGGAAAUUCCUGAGCAUUUA